AGCAGGUUAACUGGUUAACAUUGAGAGCAAGACGGAGAGAACCGAAUGCAGAGAAAUCCUAGAAGAAAACCCCGUUCUGGUCUGCAAGAGACUCGAGAGCGUGGCAGAGGUUCACCUUUUAACAACUCAAAUCCAAGAACCUGAGUAUAUUCGAAAAGCCCUGGCUUCAAUCUGAUUUGAGAAUCUCAAGACUUAAACUGCUGUUCGCCAGUGGUUUCCAUCCAGUCCGACACAGCUAGAGUAAUUUUGCCAAGAAGAAUGGGCAUAAUAUCAGGAUCCAGAUGUGCAACGCUGACUGAGACAAAAUCCAGAAUACUUGUGGUGGUAAUUGCAAAGUAUUGACCCGAGGGGGGUUAACAUUUAAGCAACCAACAAAAUGUCUGCUUUUUGACACCUUCAAAUGUUAUACAUGUAAGAAGAGGGGACGUGAAUAACAGAUUUUUCAAGAGGAAUACAUUUCUUCAGCAGCACAAACAAAUUUGAAGUAGUAUCCUUGUUUUCAAACAGGAAAUUGCAACAUGCAGAAAUGCCUUGUGGCUAAGUAUGGGAUCUGUCUAGGACACUUCAAUGGGCAUUCGAGAACAAAUUAAGGAGAAUGUGUUCGAACCAAUAUUGGAACACAGCCCAGAAGCGAGUGUGUAUAAUUUCCCUCUUGUCUGGGAUGGGUGUGUGUUAAAGCUCACCCUGGCCUGAGGGGGCGACAGGGGACCACAGCUGGAAGAGGAGUGUUGAGGAGAGGGAGGAGACGAGGAACACGCACUGAGGUCUGGCUUCGAGGAUGUGGGAGAGUCUGCAAUAUCUGCGAACACACAAAGCAGGAAUGUAUGUACUACAUAAAUUACUGUUUUAAAUCCUAUUUGAAUUUUAAUGAGAUUUACAUGUUCCAAGGUGGGGGAAAAAAACGACAUUUGAAUGUUUAAGAUCAUAUUUCUACUCUAUUCAAAUACAUCUUGAAUUCAAAUACAUCUUGCCUAAGUCUAAGCAAAGGGCUCUGAAGAAAUUUAUCAAAUGUAUGGCUUAUUUUACCAUUUCCUGUAUAAAAUGAUAUACUUUAAAAAUAAAUAAAAAUUACCCAGUAUGAAUCCUACACUUGAUAUUAAGUAAUUAUAAGUAGUUUAGAAUUUCAAGCAGGCACUUCAUAGAAAAAUAUACAGUACUGAUUGUUCCAUGAAAAUGCCCUGUACUUUUUAAGUGAGAUAAAUAUUCAUAUUUAUUAACUGUUAAUAAAUAUUAAAGUAUAUAUACAUCCAAACGGAACCAAAAAGGAACACUCCAAAUAACAAACAAAAAUAGAGAUGUCCAAAAUGAAUUUAAAAAAAAAACACUUCAAAUAACACAACAUUUUAUAGUAUUCAUUUCACCUCUAGAGGCCGCUCUCGUACUUUAUAUUGACAGAGGACCCUUCUCAGCCGCUGCAACAACCGGGGAAAACUGUGUGGAUUUUUUUUUCUGAUAACCGGUAGUUCUAGCGAUCGGUUAUCGGUGCCGAUUGAUCAGCAAAACCGAUCAAUCGGUCGACCUCUAGUGCAUGAACGUAAAUAUUUGUAGUUUCACUCAUCUGCCAGUCCGUUAUUGGAGAACGGUUUUGAAUAUCAAUAUUCCUUUGAAGACUUUUGUUCAGACGGGUCUUAAGAUGAUGUGAGCCAAAUGUGGUGAAGAUUGGACAAAAUUUGGGGGAGGAGUAACAAAAAUGGCAGUUAGAUGUAAGCAUUUUUAGGCAUGUUAUUGUUACUUUUGACCAGUGGGUAGUGCUGGCACAAAAUGUGUUGCAUAGCCUUAUCAGGGUCCUGAAAUGCCUACCAAGAUUUUGUCAGUUCUGAAAAGCAGCCACACUUCCUGUUUGGUGGCUUCGUUGGAUGAUACGGGCAAACCGUUCUGAAUAUUCAAAAUUCUGUUGAUAACUUUUCUGAGGCUUACGCCAGCGAUGACGUGCGCCAAACUUGGUGAUGAUCGGGCAACAUUUGUAGGAGGAGCAACAAAAAUAAAAAAACGUUUUUGACAAAAUCCAUUACAUUUUGGACAUACGGUUCAAAAGGUAUGACCGUGAAUGUACUUCCAAAUUAGGCCCCACUUUGAUUGGCCUGAUGGUGGCGCUAGAUGCUCUCCAAUCAGUGUACCAAAUUUCACAGCUUUUUACCAGACAGUUAGAAGAAAAGAAGAAGAAGGAAAGGUAGAAUAACAAUAGGGUUUCAGUGCACUUUCGGUGCUUGGCCCCCUGACUUUGGAAUGCCAGAUGGGUGUGUACUCAGUUAUAAUAUAGUGCUACUGGUAUGUUAAUUAUAAACUCAUUUAUAUUUAAAACCAUUCAGAUUUUAUCCGAGUACAGUUUAACAGCCCUUAAUCUGUGUGUGUGUGUGUGUGUGUGUGUGUGUGUGUGUGUGUGUGUGUGUGUGUGUGUGUGUUUCUGUGCUAACCCGUAUCGGAGCUGCGUGUCGGGCGUGGUACCCUUGUUCGGGUGAAUCGGAGCGGGGCGCAGAUGGACGUUCUGUGUGUUCUGUCCCGGCUCGAGGAGGAGACCUUCAGGUCCAGCGGCUCGUCUAAGGAGAGCAUGGCGUGCCUGUGGCAAAAAAAAAAAAGAAAGAAAGAAAGAAAGUUAUAUUUUCCAUCCCCUUUCUUCCCCCUUACACAGAGGGGGAAAGGAAUUCUCUGCAUGUUUGUUUUGGAAAUACAUCACCCUGCAGGGACCGCAACGUGAAAGUGUGUGCGAGAGAGACACACAGAGAGAGAGAGAGAGAGAGACACACACACACAGGAGCUGAGGUGGUUUGAUUUCUCACAAGUAAAGAAUGUCUUUCUGUGAUGCUUUACCAAACCAUUAAACUUGAUGACCUUC